UGGGGAAUAUUGCACAAUGGGCGCAAGCCUGAUGCAGCCAUGCCGCGUGUAUGAAGAAGGCCUUCGGGUUGUGAAGUACUUUCAGCGGGGAGGAAGGGAGUAAAGUUAAUACCUUUGCUCAUUGACGUUACCCGCAGAAGAAGCACCGGCUAACUCCGUGCCAGCAGCCGCGGUAAUACGGAGGGUGCAAGCGUUAAUCGGAAUUACUGGGCGUAAAGCGCACGCAGGCGGUUUGUUAAGUCAGAUGUGAAAUCCCCGGGCUCAACCUGGGAACUGCAUCUGAUACUGGCAAGCUUGAGUCUCGUAGAGGGGGGUAGAAUUCCAGGUGUAGCGAUGAAAUGCGUAGAGAUCUGGAGGAAUACCGGUGGCGAAGGCGGCCCCCUGGACGAAGACUGACGCUCAGGUGCGAAAGCGUGGGGAGCAAACAGG
rnacentral:rRNA from 1 species